AGAGUUUGAUCCUGGCUCAGAUUGAACGCUGGCGGCAUGCCUUACACAUGCAAGUCGAACGGUAACAGGUCUUCGGAUGCUGACGAGUGGCGAACGGGUGAGUAAUACAUCGGAACGUGCCCGAUCGUGGGGGAUAACGGAGCGAAAGCUUUGCUAAUACCGCAUACGAUCUACGGAUGAAAGCAGGGGACCGCAAGGCCUUGCGCGGACGGAGCGGCCGAUGGCAGAUUAGGUAGUUGGUGGGAUAAAAGCUUACCAAGCCGACGAUCUGUAGCUGGUCUGAGAGGACGACCAGCCACACUGGGACUGAGACACGGCCCAGACUCCUACGGGAGGCAGCAGUGGGGAAUUUUGGACAAUGGGCGGAAGCCUGAUCCAGCCAUGCCGCGUGCAGGAUGAAGGCCUUCGGG
rnacentral:rRNA from 1 species